AUGGCCUGGUCCGGCGACCACUCGCAGAGGCCUGCGGAGGUGUUCACGGUGAUCCACGGGUCGCCUGCCAUGCAUCAGGAGGCCGCGCUGCUGGGCUCGCACGCGAUGGUUGUGUGGUUAGACCGAGACCUGCGGGCAAGCACGCAGGACAUCGCCGCUGCCAUCGCCUUCGAGCUGGGCGCUCUAACGGACGACGUCUCUGUCGUCAAGCACUUUCCGGAGGCUUACCUCAUCAGGUUCUUCCACCAGCAUCACUGCAUCGACGCGAUAGGGCGCCGAGACCUGCCGUUCCGCGAGACGAGACUGCAGCUGCGCCCUUGGAGCAUGGAGGCUCACUCCAGGAGCGUCGACCUCGUCCACCAUGUUCGGCUGUGCCUGGAUGGUCUCCCGCUGCAGGCGUGGGACGACCAUGCCGUCGCGCAGGCCAUCGGGCCGGGCUGCUCCAUCGACUACAUCGAGCCAGCCUCGAGGCUCAAGAUGGACUGCGAGGUGCUGGCGGUCUGGGCGUGGACUGCUUCACCGGCCAACGUCCCGGGCGUCAACUGGGUGACCCUGCCGGCGCGUGCGUGCGACCAACCGGCGUUCGGACGGCGCGGCCGGGAGCGGCGGGUCAUCAUCCAUCUCUCGAUCCACGAGGACCCGACACAAGGCCCCAGGGUUGUGUCCAAGGGAUACAACUUCCAGAAGGGUGUCGUCGACGGCGAGCGACAGGCCCGAGACCCGCGGGGGCGCAUCUCCCGCCCUGACAACAACCACCGGCGUGACCGCGACGAUGACCAA
rnacentral:rRNA from 1 species